rnacentral:rRNA from 1 species
AUGCCCAUUUUCGCGAUAGGUGUAGCACGACUCCUUCAGCUGGUGCUACCCCAGGCUCCCGCGCCCACACAUACUGACCAAUUUCUGGACUGGUGGCACGCUACCACGUUGGCCGUUCCGGCGGCGCAUCAUAAAGGCAUCUCCUCGCUCACUCUCCUGAUCGCCUGGUCCAUAUGAAAGCAUCGCAAGUCCUGCAUCUUUGACGGCACCGCACCCUCUCCGACCAAGCUUCUCCAGGACGUCCAAGAGGAGGCUCGCUCAUGGGCCAAGGCAGGGGUCAAAGGGACUAGCCAUCAUCACACCGUAGGCGCCGUAGGCUAG